GGAAGAUCAUGGUAUGCCAAUGGAUGACAGUCAAUUUAAUCUAUGAACAGAAAAGCUGGAGUCUCCAGAUGGAGGGUUGAGUUUUCUGGAUUUUGUGGAAAUAUUGGAAGGUAAAGGAAUUUUAACACAAACAGAGCAUGAAACAAGCCCUUCCUGGAAGAUGCAGAAUUUUUCUUUUUUGAUGGAAGGGUAAUGGUAAAAACGAUCAUUGAUAUGAAUUUUAGUGCUUGGAUGACCUUCUUGUCUGAAGUUCUUUGACUCCUUACCUAGCUAAGCUGCUGAGUAUCUAACUCAGGAGUAGAAGGAAACUGGAACAGAUGGGAUGUGACCUAACUAAAGGUCCACAGAAAGGUGUGAUGGAGUUGCCACUAACAAAUUGCAAGAAGUAACUGACUGAUUUCUCUGCCUUGAGUAGAUCCGUGCCCUCAGCAUUUCUAACUCUUAUUCACAGUUUUAGGAUUAUGUUGUAUCCUAAAUUACAGUGGAUGAUUUUAUAGUACUGGUCUACUGGUGUCCAGCAACAUUUUCUGGUCUGUGUAAAAAGAGAGAAGACAGUAACUACUCCUUUCAGGAAUGAAAGAUCUGUAAGUGAUGAGUUUUACUGGCUCUAUAUACAACUGGAGAUCCGUGGUGUGACCUGGUUACUUACUGGUUUAUGGUUUUAAUUUAAAGUAUUGGUUUUGAAUGUUAAAGCUGCUAAGGGACAUUGCUACUGGGCAAUGCUGAAAUGUGGUUAUCUAUAACAUAAUUGAUAGUAUUAUUGGACUACCAAGAAUCCCAAGGAGACAGUGAGGUUUACUGUUUGUUUAGAUAUAGAUGUAUUGUCCACUCAUAUAAUGAGGAUGUUGUCUUCUUUGAUUUACUGUUGCUGAAGAAUGAAUACCAGAGGAAUAUAUUUGUACUCUGGGAGCACAUUUUUUCACUUCAGCUACUUGCCUUACCCCGUCAGUAAUUUCACUGAUUUCAAGGCACUGUAAGUGAGGGUUUCGAUUUCUACCUCCUAAAAAUGAAACUGAUGGAAUCUGAUUUCUUAGGAUGGAACCCUAAGUGCAAGGUAAAGCUAAUAAGUAAUUAUUCAUUUCUUAUUUCUUUUAUACAUCUAGAUUUUGUGAGUAAAAUUCUGAUGACAGAAUUUUAUGCUGGUAGUUUUGUCUUUGGCUUCAAAAGCCAAAAAAGUUUUAACUUCCAUAUUAUGCCUCUCGUUAUUCUCAGAGGUGUGCAUUUAUUUUUUUCGCAGUUACUAUCCUUUUCUGCUGUCAUUAUUUCUCGUUCAGAACUAAGACAAGGAGGAGAACUGACUUGUAUCUGGCUGAUACAAUAUUCAGGUUUUAGUUCAUUCAGUCCUGUAAGUUUAGAAGUUUGUGAAUACAGCCAGCUAAUCAUCUGCCCACCAAAAUAUGUGUGCCUUCAUCCAGCAGCCAAAUAAAAGAUGCCUGAAACAGGUUAACCUUAAGGAAAAUGAGUGUGCCAACUCUUUGAUUUAAAUCAAGAAUCAACAGUGGUUUGUCUGUAUUUAAAGUUUUUGCUUUUGCCAAUUAUGAAAAUCACAGCUUUUCUUUCCAUACGGUACUAUAUCCCAUAGCUGUAAAAGAAAUUGCGACCCACAUUCAACAUCAACUCUCAGAAAUCAGAAGGCAAAGAAAAAACCUUCCUAACUUUUAUUUUUUGAUGAUUUGUGAUUCACUGUGGUGGAGGGUGUUCUGUACUUACAGAAAAAGAGGCCUGAUUUUCUUCUUAUAAGCUUUAGUGGGUAGAUAACACGUGUACAAAUUUUCUUGACUAGACUUCAAUAGAAACUGGAAUUGAAAAAGGGGAAGGACAGUGCAUGCCUGUAGAAGGGAGUAGGAUUUAAAGGGUAAAAUCAGGAAAUUUUAAAGUGAUGCAGUGAAUACUAUCUAGUGAUUCUUCAGAUAGUUGUACAGGCUCUUGUGUGUUGGUGUAUGUAAAAUUUUGAAAAAGGAAAGAAACAUUCCUUUAGAACAGAUCAUUAAUUUAGCAUUUUCUUAUCAAUCAGGAGUAGGGUGUAGUGAAUUGUCAGUGUGUACCUUUUUCUUCACAAGUUUUCCCCAUUUUAAAAUCUGUCGUGAAUUACUCAUCUAUAUGGCUCAUGCAUUGCAGAAGACUUAUAAAAUGCUCAAGAGGCUACAAAAGAUGCUUAGUCUCUUUUUUUCCCAGAAGCAAGGCAAAAGAGGUUCCUGGAGUAUCACUGCAGAAUGAGCAGAAGGAAUCAGAUCUGGAAUGGUAACCAAAAUAGCUGUUCUAUGGCCUAAAAGGACAUUAGCCCUUCAGGACUGGAAGUGCAAGGGUGCCCUGCUGGGAAGCUGGCUGUCGCCCUUUCCUGAUCCUGCUGGGGCUGUGAGAUAAUAAACUUGUGGCAAUGUGAAGCUGCUGUUUGUGCAGGACUGAGCCUUGCCAGAACAGAACAUCAGGCAAAAUAGUUUCAGUGGUGAUGCUCUGUUAAGCCAGGAGUGUUUUGAUGGUAGAUCUGAAAUAGCUCAGGUCGGUUCAAACCGCAGGAGGGCUUAAAGGAGAUGGUCUAGUGUGCAGUGUUUGUGCUACACAAAGAUGUAACAGAUUACUUUCUCUGACACUGUCUGCAGCUCCUGUGUGCCCUCACUGAGACAGCCGGGCGGUGUGACAGCGAGUCACGACUUUCACAGUGCUCCUUUCCUCCUCCUCCUCCUCCUCCAGUCUGAUACCUCCCUUCCUCAGAGUAAACCAAACAGCCACCACAAAAGAAGGCUCAAGCAAAAGAAAAAAAACCUUGCCUCAGCUGCGCUGUGCUUUCUUCAGCACUAGCAGCUGAGGCCAUUACUGUAAUUUGGGUGGACACCACUAAUCCUGCAUACAGAUUGUGGACUUUGUCAUGUUUGGGCUGUAAAGAAUACAAUUGCAGAGUUUCUUGUUUCAUUUAUGUUACAUUACUGUGCUGUUUAUCAGAUACGUUUAAUACCAUCUUUUCAAUGUUUGCUAGACUUUGAUUUCAUUAUCGCAGAUGCCAGAUUGAAGGGGCCAGGACCUACAUUAUGUAGCAGCCCAAACCAUGGAGUAAAUGAUGCUAAAUAUCAUUACAUGGCUGCUGAAGAAUGUCUCAAUCAACUUAAUGAUAAGCUGAUGAAAGUCUAUGGGGUAAAUGUAUUGAUCCAUGGUUUGCUUUGGCAGUGAAGCUGGUUGUUAUUUUGAUACAAAUAUUUGUUUUAAAAGUUGGUUUGGGGGGCCUGUCAGGGAAGUGACUCUAAAAAUUACGUUGGAUUUCAUGUCUUCUGUGUUCUCGGAAACUUCCAGUUCAAAUACAUUCAGCUUUCAAGGCAAAAACUUCUUCCUUUUUUUUUCCCCCUAAUUGUCUUCUCUGCAGCCUCUGCCAGGAAAAUAAGAUCUGAGUUAUUUUUUCCCAUCCUUUUGUGAGCAUAGCUAUUAAAGAAUCUGCAAUUAGAAAAGAAUAACUCUGUACUACUCAUUCAUGGAACAGACCAUCUAUUCAUGAGAAUGAUCUUUCAAGAAGAUGUUCUUAGUCCCUAAAGUUUGCAACACAGGGAUCUUAAAAAAGAGAUGUUUUCCAGCUUUUCUUAUUUAUUUCAGCUUUUGCUUAUUAUUUUCUGUAGUUGCCAUUAGCAGGUACUCCUUGAAUUCCCACCAUGGACAUGCACAAAGUAAGAGAGAUCACUUUUUACAAAAAAGCUGCAGUCAUUACCCUUUUGCUCAGUUCAUCCUAUCCCCAUUGGACACGUCUAGCAAAGGUGAUCAUAUUGAUCAGCCUUACUUCAAAUUUCUGAAGAACUGCACCAUUUAAAAGGUGUUUGAACAUUUUGCAUCUAUUUUAAUGGGAGAAGCUGUUCAGCUGGUAGAUCAAUUGCUCUCAAGUCUGUCUUCAUUACAGGUUUUCUAAGGAUAGGCAAGGGUAGAAAUGAGGUACCUCUACGUAUAGUACUGAUGGAAAGUGGAGGUCAAUUUGUAAAUUUGUAUGGGGAUGGCUUUUUGAUGGUCCCUACUUUUGCUCAGUUCUGUACAUGCUUAAGAUGAAAGCAAUAAGAUUGCAAUUUACUGUGGACUAUCCCAAGUAAGGCAGUACUAUAAAUGCUUCAUAUUCUCGAACUGCGUUAAAAUAUUUGCCUGUUGUCAAAACAAGUCUAGAGCAAACAUUUGUUAUUUAUGUUUAAAUAUAUGUAGUUGACAUGUUAAAUAUUCCUUGUUAGGACACCUAUUCUGCCUUCCAUGAAACAGACAGUAACCGUAACAGUAUCAUCAACAUGCCUGGCUUUCAGCUAUUCUCGGAAAGCUUUCUGCUUCAUCUUGGAGGAGAGGAAUUUUUGUGCCUACUUGGUUUGUUGGGAAUGAACCUUACCUCCAUGUUAAAUUACCAAGAAUUCUGUCAACUGUUCCACACCCAAGAAACUAAGGAGAAAAAAACAGAUGAUAACGGAUGCAGAGCUAGCUUGUGAUCACGCUCAUUACUACCUUGUUAUCAAAGCAAGAACCAGAUGGCAUGACCUAGCAAGGAAUUUUCAGGAAUUUGACAGUGAAGGAAAUGGCACGAUACAGCCAAGAGACUUGAAGAAAGUCUUGUUCAGAUUUGGCAUUCCAAUCACCCCGGAAGAAUUUAAGCAGCUUUGGGCAAGGUAUGAUACAGAUGCAAAAGGAUAUCUUACUCACCAAGAAUUUUUACAGAAACUGGGGAUAGAGUUUGCACCCACUGACACAGGGCUCAGCAAACACAUCACGGAAGACAGAUACGCACAUUUACAAAUGCAUUAUAAUAAUCAACAAAAGAAACAUUCAAAGCUGGAAGAGCAGCAGAAACAGCAAACUAAAGCUCUGCAUGCAAGAGAAAUUAAAAAGCAGAUCAAAGAUAAAUUUAGGGAUUACUUCCAAGAUUUCAAUAAGGCCUUUCAUAAAAUGGAUAAAAAUAGAGAUGGCUAUGUAACAGUAUGUGACCUACUCAGGAUACUACAACAAUUCAACUAUUACAUUGACCAUGAUCAGUAGCCUUCUAAACAGGAAUCAGCAUUCAUGACAGCAAGCUCUCUUAUUUUGAUUUCCUGAGAGCAAUUGAUGAUGGCAGAGCAUGUAAAUACCAACAGAGACAAAAGCAGGCUGCACCACCUGCAAGCUUUGCAGCACUCAGCUUAGAACAGGCCCUAAUUAAGAUAAAAGAAAUAGUUGCAUCAUCUUUUGAUUUGUUGUACGAGACUGAGGAAGGGCGAAAAGUCAUUCCGCCUAAAUCUUCUUGGGAGCUGUCAGAGAGAGGCAUCCUCUCACAGGUACAAGAAGUAGUGACUGCUGGCUUUGACACAAUUGCACAGGAGCUUAAAGGUAUUGCCUCUUCAAAAGAUAAUACAGUAUCAAAAGAGGAGUUCUGGGAUAUACGUACCCGACACCAGCGGCUGACUGAAGAACAAUUCGAAAAUCUUUGGAACACAGUGAAUUUCAGUGCUGGUGGACAAUUGAAGUAUGAUGUCUUUUUGAAGAAGUUCAGCUCAGAAGUUGUAACGGUACCAUCAAGGGCUCUUGGUGUAACUAGCUCUGCAACUUCUACCAAGCCAGCUGCCCAUAGCAUGCAGGACCCAUGCGUGUUUUCUCAGCCUGAACGUCCCAAGACAUCAUCUUCUCUAGUAGGGCAAAAAAGCAUACCAGCAUCCAGUCGUCCACCGACAACAACAACUUGUUCUGCACCUGUCCUUAACUGUGAAACAAUAGAAACUAAGAUAAGAAAGAACAUCCAACAUUCCUGGAGAGACAUACUGAAAGUGUGCAAAGAGAAGGAUGUCAGCAAUCUAGGAGAAAUCCCAGUGUCAGACUUCCUAGAUAUAGCAGAUAUAGAAGUUCAAUUUGGAUUUAAGUGAAGGGGAAAUUAACCACACAACAACAAAAUAUGAUUUAAAGAAAAAUGGAAGAUUUGCAUACUAUGACUUCCUUCAGAGUUUUAUCUUGUUGUUAAAACCACAGGAAAGAUCACUGUUACAGAGGGUAAUUACACAGAAGCCACCAAACCUGCUGAGUCCUGGACCACAAACCACAUCGUUCUUCAGCGCAAGGCUGAGAAUUCAGCCCCAGAUCCUGCACUGCUGGAGACCAAUGAAGGAGAACUUUUCAAUCCUACGAUGAAAGUCAUACUGGACUGUUAACAUGUCGCAGAUUUCAGACAAGUUCUUCAGGAGUACGGCAUCAACCUAACUGAAGAGGAGUUAUUCAACAUUUUGGAAUAUUAUGAUAAAAAUGUCUUCAAAAAUAUCCUAUAAUGAUUUUCUCCGGGCAUUCAUACAGUAGGAUUUGGUCAAAUGCAGGAAACUGCAGAUAAAGACAGUGACCGAUUUUUAAUUUCAAAUUUCAAACUAAUAAAUUAAUUGAGUAUGUCUUUUUUGUAUCUAUUUAUUUGAAAACUCAAAAUACUUUAAAAUUCUGACAGCAGUCCUGUGUUGUGGAUUAAAUCUACAUAGCGAGGGAAUUAAUUUUGCAUAAUCCAUUUAUCAAAAAAGAAAAAGACAACAAUUAGCAUUGUCAAAAUAAUGCUUCCUAAGACAUCUCCACAAGCAAUUCAUUUAAGGAAAUUCUUUUUCUAAUUUUACGCAUUUUAUUAAUGACAUACUCUUAACUUCAGUAAAAAUGUUUAGGAGGCAUACUAUUCAGUUUCCUCAAUUGUCAUUUUCCAUGUGUAUUAGUUUUCAUGUUAUCCUUCGUUAUUAAAAAAAAGUCAUCCCAUUUCUCGGGACAUCUUUUUCCUCUACUUGCAGUGCCCUAUCUGCAUUGUCAAAGACAUGUUAAUAUGGACUGGCCAUUGAAAUCUGAGCAGACACCAAUUGUGUGUGGACACCACACCUUUCUCUAUUAAAACUGUUCUUCUGCAUCCUUCAGCACAGUUUAGAACAGAAGCUACUUUAUCAAUAAGCAUUGGCUUCUUAACUGCAUAAUAUUCCCAGUUUUAGCCUUGAGGUGUAUCUUUUUAAGGGUAGUAUAUUUAUAUAUAUUCAUACAAUACACAGUAAACUGCAAGUAAAACCUCUGGUUAGAUUUCCCCUUUCUAGAAAAGUUCUGUUUGAAUACCUCGUGAGAUACCUUCAUCUUGGUGAGAAAAUGAAAAGAUAAUUGUUUGACUGUUGAACUCUUUCGAUAAUUAAAGGAUAAUAUAAUCAUCAGAUCCUGCUUCCUGCGAUUAUAUCAACAAUUAAACACUUACCUACCCUGAAGAACCGUUAGAUAAAUAUUUCUGUCUGAUUCCUGAAUUAGUAUUCGUUGGUACACCAAAGAGCC